rnacentral:ncRNA from 1 species
UGAUAGCGAAGAAGCGUGAGGUUGCUGCCGAGAAGUGGCAGGUAUUCCGUGGAGCGAAUGUCAAGUUAGGAAACUGGCGACAA